UUUUUCUCUCUCUCCCUUUUUCCUUUACUUUUCUUCUUUUCAACUUCUUCCUCCUAUUCUCGAUCUGUCCAAGAGAGCUCAUGCGAGGGACAUCUGAAGAGUCCAUGAGAGAGAGUAAUUCUUCGAACUGAGAAGACGGAGAAAAGAGAGAAGAAGUUUGGUUAUCUUCCCACAUUUUCACACAAAAGGCAAGACUCUCCGAAAGAGAGAGAAGAACACAAAGAGAAUCAAAAAAGUCCUUGUCAUGUUCU
rnacentral:ribozyme from 13 species